rnacentral:rRNA from 1 species
UGGGGAAUUUUGGACAAUGGGGGCAACCCUGAUCCAGCAAUGCCGCGUGUGUGAAGAAGGCCUUCGGGUUGUAAAGCACUUUUGUCCGGGAAGAAAUCGCACCUGAUAAUACCGGGUGUGGAUGACGGUACCGGAAGAAUAAGGACCGGCUAACUACGUGCCAGCAGCCGCGGUAAUACGUAGGGUCCAAGCGUUAAUCGGAAUUACUGGGCGUAAAGCGUGCGCAGGCGGUUGUGCAAGACCGAUGUGAAAUCCCCGGGCUUAACCUCGGAAUUGCAUUGGUGACUGCACGGCUAGACUGUGUCAGACGGGGGUAGAAUUCCACGUGUAGCAGUGAAAUGCGUAGAGAUGUGGAGGAAUACCGAUGGCGAAGGCAGCCCCCUGGGAUAACACUGACGCUCAUGCACGAAAGCGUGGGGAGCAAACAGG